rnacentral:rRNA from 1 species
AUUGAACGCUGGCGGCAGGCUUAACACAUGCAAGUCGAGCGGAGAUGAGGUGCUUGCACCUUAUCUUAGCGGCGGACGGGUGAGUAAUGCUUAGGAAUCUGCCUAUUAGUGGGGGACAACAUUCCGAAAGGAAUGCUAAUACCGCAUACGUCCUACGGGAGAGAGCAGGGGAUCUUCGGACCUUGCGCUAAUAGAUGAGCCUAAGUCGGAUUAGCUAGUUGGUGGGGUAAAGGCCUACCAAGGCGACGAUCUGUAGCGGGUCUGAGAGGAUGAUCCGCCACACUGGGACUGGAACACGGCCCAGACUCCUACGGGAGGCAGCAGUGGGGAAUAUUGGACAAUGGGGGGAACCCUGAUCCAGCCAUGCCGCGUGUGUGAAGAAGGCCUUAUGGUUGUAAAGCACUUUAAGCGAGGAGGAGGCUACUGAGACUAAUACUCUUGGAUAGUGGACGUUACUCGCAGAAUAAGCACCGGCUAACUCUGUGCCAGCCGCCGCCGUAACAC